GGAGAGGAAGGUAGGGAACAAGUUAAGGCUGUGAUCACGGGUCUUGGGUUUUAUGGCCACUGGCCACAGAGUAGCUGGUCCUUCCUCCCACACCUGGCCAGGACAUAUCUCUGAACACAGACCUUAUUCUCAAGCUUCCUGGCAACUCUCCCUUGUGGCCAUAGACUGAGAUUCAGACAUUGUGAUCAGCGAAACAGCCUGUAGGCCACGUCAUGGGACCUUCAUGAGUGCAUUCACCUGGGUGCUGGGCACAGGACAUACACAGAGCUUGUACAUCUCUAUACAGCCUAGGACACAUGUGGCCACCCAGGCCUGUGGGAGAGUGGAGCCUGGCGGCAGGGGCCAGGCACAGCAGGGGAUCCUUGCCAUCCUUACUCCUUUCUUUCUCCUUUCUGGCAGGUCUGGCCUCUUUGGGCUGCCACUGGCUGAUGACCCCCCUGCCGUCAAUUCCCAUGGCCCAGCCCCCGAGGAGAGUGAUGGAGAAGUGAUGCAGCAGGGGAUGGGCUUCCUGCCUCCUCCCCACAGUGACCAGUCCCCGGAGGACCAGCCUCCCAAGAUAGCUGGCCCUGAGCCACCUCCGCCACUUGUGCCACCACUGCCUGCCCGGAGCCUGCCCCCCUACCCACCAUAUUUUGAAGGUGCCCCCUUCCCUCACCCACUCUGGCUGAGAAACACCUAUCAGCAGUGGGUGCCACAGCCACCACCAAGGACCAUCAAGCGAACUCGACGGCGUUUGUCCCGCAACCGAGACCCAGGCCGCCUCAUCCUGAGCACCAUCCGCCUACGUCCCCGCCAGGUGCUCUGUGAGAAGUGCAAGAGCACCGUGAGUCCCCAGGAGGCCAGCCCUGGUCCCCCAGCUGCUUCCAGGCCCCGCCGGAGGCUGGGCAGUGGCUCAGACAGGGAGCAUCGCAAGCCAGAGGAGCCAGAGGACAGUGACCCCGCAGGUACAGCCACUGUGAGGAAGAGCAAGAAGGAGAGGCGGGAGGAAGACAGGGCCUCAACUGAACAGGUUCCACGGAGUCCUGUCAUCAAGAUCUCCUAUAGUACGCCCCAGGGCAAGGGUGAAGUGGUCAAGAUCCCAUCCCGGGUGCAUGGCUCUCUGGAGCCAUUCUGCCCCCAGCAAGCUCUCCACAAUGGCAGCCAGGACCCUGAGGUGCUGAGAGAUGCAGAGUCCAGGGGUAGUGGGGACCGACCACCCAGUGGACCUUCCGCUUCCAUCCCCAAGCUGAAGCUGACGCGUCCUCUGCCUCCUGGCUCAGACUUGCCACCACCUAAGAUCCGCCUGAAGCCCCACCGCCUGGGGGACGGUGAGUGUGAGCCCCUGUACAGGGCUGAGCUGGUGGAGGAGCUGAACGGCAGUCGACAAGGCUCCCAGGCCAGCUCACCUGCCCUCUUUGCAGAUAGCUCUGCCCAUGGACUGCAGGAUUUGUCUUCUGGAAGUUCUGGCGAGGAUGAUGAUUUCAAGAGGUGUCCCCAAAAUAAACAGGGACGUGAUGGCUUAGCCUUUCUUGUAAAUUGCCCUGGUAGAAGAGCAGAUUGUGCCAGUGAGUCUGUGUGCAGCAGUGACAGCCUGGAUGAAUCCAAAUCCUCCAGCUCAGAAGUGACAUCUCCAGACACAGGGGACCUUUCGUCCGGUGAUGGUGCAACUGUGCCUUCCUCAUCCAGGGAUGUUCGCCAGACAGUCCCACCCCUAACAGUCAGAUUGCAUACACAGAGCGUCUCUAAGUGUGUUACUGAAGAUGGAAGGACCGUGGCUGUAGGGGACGUCGUGUGGGGUCACCAACGGUGAGAAUGCAGCUGUUGUCCUGGAGCUUCUGAUUUCCAUCCAAAGGACCCCACGUGCCUUCUGGCCAGCUUUGUGCAGACCCAUGCUGGGCACAGUGGUCAGCCUGGUGCAAGGCCCCAGAGGAGCAGGUGUGUCCAGGAGGAGAUAAGACCAGUGCACAGUGGCCGCCUCUUGGCUGAAUGUAUUUAUUCCUGUGACUCAGGCUGCAGUGUUCCUGGCUUGGAAGGAGCCGGGAACUCAGUGAUGAGCUUGCUGUUUCACAUGCCGGGUGUGGGCGGCCUCCAGGCCUGGACUUCCCUCGCAAGAGCAGGGCCUUCUGCCCAGCCCACCUGGUGACCAGUGUGGGUGGCUGUGCCCAGCCGUGGAUCUUCCCUGGGGAUGACCGUCUCAGCUGCUCGGCUCCAGCUGUCUGCAGACUUGAUAUAAACCAAAUUGCACGUGUGGGGUUCUUCUUCCCAAGCCCUUGGGCACGGGGUCUCUGUGCACUUGAGAGCUGGGGACCCACCUGCAUCUCACCCCAUUCCUCCCAGAGCAUGGGUCCCCCUGGGUGGCUGGCCCCUGCUUGCAAGGCCACCUUGUCUAGGAGAUGCUGCUAUGAAUUGCCAGUACUGUGAGGAGGAGGUGAAGGGUAGACCUUGAAAACAGCGCAACAUCAAGAGGAGAAACUGGCUCUGCUGUUUAUGAGUGCAUUCCUUCCCCUUUCUGUCACUUUAUAGACCAAAAAGAAAAACGAAAGAAAAAAACAAAGUCUUCUGCUCUUUCUUUGAUUAAAUGUAAGAAAGAAAAAUCUAGGUUGAUGUUACCUGAGCAGUCCUGAGGUUGCACCUAUGUCGGGGCUGUUGUGUGGAGGGUCCCUGGAGACCCUUGACAGUGAAAGGAAUGGGCCCAUGGCCACAUGUAUCAAGGUAGCACCAUGCCAGACAGACAGGAAGUCCCAUUCUCUCCCUGCCUGGGCCUCCCUCCUAUUUCCUGGUUGACAUUUGAAUUUCCUGGACAGAGGCAGCCCCCUGCAAGUGGGGGUAGUUUUGCUCUGUGUUCCUACCGGUACAACUUUUUUUUUCAGUGCUGGGGAUGGAACUCAGGACUUUGUACUUGCAAGGCAGGCGUGGUGCCCCUGAGCUAAAUCCCUAGCCCUGGUGCAACUUCUUUAAUCCCCUGGUUUCUUAGUUUGCUCAUUUAAAGCCAAUGGACAUCCCAGGGAUGGAGAUGGCGACUUCGCUUGUUCCCGGUUUUACUGGAAUGUUCUGCAUUCUAAGGGUUCCACUCCACCUACAAAGGACUCUGGGAAUGUUGGGGGGGCAGCAGUGGACACCACCAGGGUCUUCUCCAGAGGUUCUCAAGGGGACAACUCAGCAGAUGACUGUCCUUAUGGUUCCCUGAGGACAUGGUUCUGGGCCUGCUCUUGGAAUUGGGGGAGGGUGUGGCUUUCAAAUUUGUUUGUAGCAGCAGAGCCCUUUGCUCCAUCAGAAUUUCACUGGAACAAAGGCUACUCAGGAGGUGCUGUUCCUGACCACUCAACACUAAGAAGCCCCCAAGGCCCAGGUGUCUUUGGAGGCUUUGAAAAUCCACAAGUGGGACAAGGGGCCUUGUAUGAGAGACAGGACUUUGAAAGAAUGAGAGCUGCCAGCAUCUAUGGGUCUGUCCCAGGCCCAUCUCAGGAGACCCAGGGUCCAGGGAUGCCAGGCCCCAUCACUGCCACACUGUGGUCCAGGUUUUGAGUCACUUCGAACGAGGGUGUCCCUAGGAAGGAUCAGAGCUGGGGAAGAAUUGCUAUCUCCAUUCGCUUGGGCCAAGGGAGCUUGGUCUUCCUUCGAGGCAGACACAACCCAGCAGCCUGCGCAUUUACAUACGCUCCUUUGUGGGAUGAGUUAUGCAUUCUCCAGAAUGUCAGGCUAGAGCAGGCCUUUGGCAACUGUCCCAGGCUCUAGGGUGGGGGUGAGGGACGUCUUCCUUCUGCUGAGGAUGAAAGAACUGGGUGUGGCUAUGUGCGCACCCCACCCUGGGGUCCCCAGCAACAACAAAUAAAGGCCUGGUGCUGCCCUCUGCCAGUGUUUGUCAGCAGCACCUGUGUUCCUUAAUCACAGGUCCUGGCUGUGACGAGUAGGGACUGAGCAGGAAAGGGCCAGCUCCCUCAACAGAAGACAAAGAGUUCCUUAUGAGUCCCUGGCUCCAGGUGUCCACCUUUAAACCAAUCUGCCAGAAACGCACUGGUCUGGGGGCCCUGAGUCUGGCCCUUCUGCUGGGUGGCUUCUGGCCACACUUGACCUUCACCAGACCAGAAGUCCUAGGGUUCCUAGACCAGUGGCAGUGGUGCUGCCUGCUCUCUGUGGAAACGUUGAGUCCCCACAUCAAAUCAGUCUGCUCACUAGUCCAAAACCUCGGCUGCAUCUGGGCCUCAGAAGAUUAGAGGACUUGGCGCCUCCAAACUCCCGGCAGUGUCUGCAAGCCAGCAGUACCUGAGAGCAGGUCAGCCCUGUGUGCCUCACCCAUAUUAGCUCAGAGGCUGCCACAAAAAGUUGUCCUGCGAGCCCAAGAACUGUGAGACGGUUCCUAUUUGAAAGCAUUAUUACUUUUGGAGAUUCAUACAUGCCUGAGCUCAUCAAAGUUCAGACGAAUCCUGUCUUUAGAACAGCAAACUCCUGCUUGCCUGGUGUUUCCCAGCCUGUGAGUCUAUGAGGGCCCCUCACAUAGAUCACAUAGACAUGCAACUGUCUGCUCCCUCAUGGCCCUGAUACCAGCAGUCCCUGCUGGAGGAUAUUCUUCCACCAAGGCUUGCGGCCUCUUAGUGCCCACACCGGAUGAGUGGGGUGUCUCAGGGCUGUUGUCUGCUGAAGCCCACCGGAAGGGCAGGAGCUUGCAGUCCUGGGCUGGCCUGAGCUCUACCCACCCUGGGAGGGCAUUGUCCCUCAGCCUAGAAGGGUGAAUGACAUUUCAGCAGAUCUAAUUUAAAGUGAAGGCAGUUUUUUUGUUUUGCUUUGUGUUUAGUCUUUAUUUUUUAAGCAGAGGAUUAACCGUGCUUACUUGUCAGUUUGAUUACAUGGUUGCUCAGACCAUGUGCAGGAAUGGCGGGGAGGGGGGUACUCUAUCCCUCAGUGACACCCAGACUUGGACUAAAGCCAGCCCCCAGCAACAUUGCAGCGCCUGGUGAUGCCUGGCUCUGCGCUCAGCUCCUUUUUCAGGGACAUCCCUCCUUGCCUUGGUGAUGUCCAGCACACUGCUCAGCCUUUCUGGGUGGGGCUCAGCCUUGUCCCACCUCUAAAGGCCCUGACACAAUGGCUACACAAAGUGGGUGCACUCAGGCUUAGAAUGCAGGC
rnacentral:lncRNA from 1 species